UACGUAGGGCGCAAGCGUUGUCCGGAAUUAUUGGGCGUAAAGAGCUCGUAGGCGGUUUGUCGCGUCUGCUGUGAAAACCUAAGGCUCAACCUUGGGCUUGCAGUGGGUACGGGCAGACUAGAGUGCGGUAGGGGUGACUGGAAUUCCUGGUGUAGCGGUGGAAUGCGCAGAUAUCAGGAGGAACACCGAUGGCGAAGGCAGGUCACUGGGCCGCAACUGACGCCUGAGGAGCGGAAAAGCAUGGGGAGCGAACAGG
rnacentral:rRNA from 1 species